UUGACUUUGGGAUAACUUCAGGGAAACUGGGGCUAAUACCGGAUAGGAGCUCCUGCUGCAUGGUGGGGGUUGGAAAGUUUCGGCGGUUGGGGAUGGACUCGCGGCUUAUCAGCUUGUUGGUGGGGUAGUGGCUUACCAAGGCUUUGACGGGUAGCCGGCCUGAGAGGGUGACCGGCCACAUUGGGACUGAGAUACGGCCCAGACUCCUACGGGAGGAAGCAGUGGGGAAUAUUGCACAAUGGGUGGAAGCCUGAUGCAGCAACGCCGUGUGCGGGAUGACGGCCUUCGGGUUGUAAACCGCUUUCGCUCAUGACGAAGCUUCGUGUGACGGUAGUGGGUAAAGAAGCACCGGCUAACUACGUG
rnacentral:rRNA from 1 species